AGAGUUUGAUCCUGGCUCAGAUUGAACGCUGGCGGCAGGCCUAACACAUGCAAGUCGAGCGAGAAAGCCUUCGGGUGAGUACAGCGGCGGACGGGUGAGUAACGCGUAGGAAUCUACCUGGUAGUGGGGGACAACAUGGGGAAACCCAUGCUAAUACCGCAUACGCCCUAAGGGGGAAAGCGGGGGACCUUCGGGCCUCGCGCUAUCAGAUGAGCCUGCGUAGGAUUAGCUUGUUGGUGAGGUAAAGGCUCACCAAGGCGACGAUCCUUAGCUGGUCUGAGAGGAUGAUCAGCCACACUGGAACUGAGACACGGUCCAGACUCCUACGGGAGGCAGCAGUGGGGAAUAUUGCGCAAUGGGCGAAAGCCUGACGCAGCCAUGCCGCGUGUGUGAAGAAGGCCUUAGGGUUGUAAAGCACUUUCAAUUGGGAAGAAAGGUUGUACGUUAAUAGCGUGCAGCUGUGACGUUACCUUUAGAAGAAGCACCGGCUAACUCCGUGCCAGCAGCCGCGGUAAUAAGGGCGAAUUC
rnacentral:rRNA from 1 species